rnacentral:pre_miRNA from 1 species
GAGACACCCUUGGCGGCAGGACUUGCUUCAGUGGGGCUUUGGUGAUCACUGAGUCUGCCCCUUGAGUGUGUCUCU